rnacentral:rRNA from 1 species
AACGAACGCUGGCGGCAGGCCUAACACAUGCAAGUCGAGCGCCCCGCAAGGGGAGCGGCGGCCGGGUGAGUAACGCGUGGGAAUAUGCCCUUUGCUACGGAAUAGUCUCGGGAAACUGGGGGUAAUACCGUAUACGCCCUUUGGGGGAAAGAUUUAUCGGCGAAGGAUUAGCCCGCGUUGGAUUAGGUAGUUGGUGGGGUAAUGGCCUACCAAGCCGACGAUCCAUAGCUGGUUUGAGAGGAUGAUCAGCCACACUGGGACUGAGACACGGCCCAGACUCCUACGGGAGGCAGCAGUGGGGAAUCUUAGACAAUGGGGGCAACCCUGAUCUGGCCAUGCCGCGUGAGUGAUGAAGGCCUUAGGGUUGUAAAGCUCUUUCAGCUGGGAAGAUAAUGACGGUACCAGCAGAAGAAGCCCCGGCUAACUCCGUG